ensembl:lncRNA
GGAAAAACCUGUAACGUGAUGUAGGGAAACAACUACAACCAACGCCAGCAUCGCUACUUAAUAGCAGUGAAUCUUGGGGUGGUUCUCUAGCCCUCUCUGAGAAAUAAUUUACGAAUAUAAAGUCAAGCAGAGCUGGAGCCAAGGACAGAACAGGAGGAGGGUUGCCAAGAUCCAGGGGGAAACAACCGUCUAAGUCACAUCUUGAAGGCUUCCAUUUUACUCCAUCUUUUGAGAGCAGGUGAAAACAGCUCCAGGCAUGUUGUCUGUAACUUGCCCCAUCCCCUGAGUCCUACUUUGCAUCUUUCUGCUUCUUGCCCCACAAUCACAGACUUUUAGAGUUGGAAAGGGCCUUAGCAGGCACUUAAAUCAACCUCUCUGGCAAGCAGAAAUCCUUUGAUGGCAAGCAUGUUCGCUUGGGUCUUUUGCUUAGAGACUCCCAUGGCAGGCAGUUCUUUACCAUGUGACCCAGCAGCCUCUCUCAUGGUUGGGAAGAUCUGCUAACUUCUGCAGGUUAGAACACCUCAGUUUCCACAUUUAUUCUCCCUCCAAGACAGCGUCCUAAACCUCCAUCUUCCAAUUGCAGUCCUCCCAUCAGAUGCCACUGACCCUGAAAACAGAAGUAAAUUUGGAAGAGCCAGUGAUGGUGGAAUGAGGAAGAGAAGAUGAUGACGCAGCUCAGUUUCUUGCACUUGCAGCCUAGAGCACCCAACCAGGCAGGCCAUCUCCCAAAAUAACCUUCCCUCCAAACAGUCAGCUCCUUAU